CGACGUCGCGAGAAGUCCA
rnacentral:siRNA from 1 species